rnacentral:rRNA from 1 species
CUACGUGCCAGCAGCCGCGGUAAUACGUAGGUCCCGAGCGUUGUCCGGAUUUAUUGGGCGUAAAGCGAGCGCAGGCGGUUAGAUAAGUCUGAAGUUAAAGGCUGUGGCUUAACCAUAGUACGCUUUGGAAACUGUUUAACUUGAGUGCAAGAGGGGAGAGUGGAAUUCCAUGUGUAGCGGUGAAAUGCGUAGAUAUAUGGAGGAACACCGGUGGCGAAAGCGGCUCUCUGGCUUGUAACUGACGCUGAGGCUCGAAAGCGUGGGGAGCAAACAGGAUUAGAUACCCUGGUAGUCCACGCUGUAAACGAUGAGUACUAGGUGUCGGGGGUUACCCCCCUCGGUGCCGCAGCUAACGCAUUAAGUACUCCGCCUGGGGAGUACGCACGCAAGUGUGAAACUCAAAGGAAUUGACGGGGACCCGCMCAAGUAGCGGAGCAUGUGGUUUAAUUCGAAGCAACGCGAAGAACCUUACCUAAGCUUGACAUCCC